rnacentral:rRNA from 1 species
UACGUAGGGGCCGAGCGUUGUCCGGAGUUAUUGGGCGUAAAGAGCGCGCAGGCGGUCGUUCAAGUCGCGUGUGAAAGCCCCCGGCUCAACUGGGGAGGGUCACGCGAUACUGAUCGACUCGAAGGCAGGAGAGGGUAGUGGAAUUCCCGGUGUAGUGGUGAAAUGCGUAGAUAUCGGGAGGAACACCAGUGGCGAAAGGCGGCGCUCUGGGCCGAAACUGACGCUGAGGGGCGAAAGCGUGGGGAGCGAACGGG